AACGAACGCUGGCGGCAUGCCUAACACAUGCAAGUCGAACGAGACCUUCGGGUCUAGUGGCGCACGGGUGCGUAACGCGUGGGAACCUGCCCUUAGGUUCGGAAUAACUCCCCGAAAGGGGUGCUAAUACCGGAUAAUGUCUUCGGACCAAAGAUUUAUCGCCUUUGGAUGGGCCCGCGUUGGAUUAGCUAGUUGGUAGGGUAAAAGCCUACCAAGGCGACGAUCCAUAGCUGGUCUGAGAGGAUGAUCAGCCACACUGGGACUGAGACCCGGCCCAGACCCCUGCGGGGGGAGGAAGGGGGGAAUUUGGAACAGUGGGCGAAAGCCUAACCCCGCACACCCGGGGAGGGGAGUGAGGCCUAGGGGUUUUAAAGCCUUUUUCCCCGGGAUAUUAAUGCCAGUCCCGGGAGAAAAAGCCCCGGCAAACCCCGU
rnacentral:rRNA from 1 species